UCCCUGGUGGCUCAGACGUUAAAGCGUCUGCCUGCAAUGCGGGAGACCCAAGUUCAAUCCUUGGGUCGGGAA
rfam:Ovis aries breed Texel chromosome 3, whole genome shotgun sequence.